rnacentral:rRNA from 1 species
AUUGAACGCUGGCGGCAGGCCUAACACAUGCAAGUCGAACGAGUGGCGGACGGGUGAGUAAUGUCUGGGGAUCUGCCUGAUGGAGGGGGAUAACUACUGGAAACGGUAGCUAAUACCGCAUACCAUCGGAUGUGCCCAUAUGGGAUUAGCUAGUUGGUGGGGUAAAGGCUCACCAAGGCGACGCUCUCUAGCUGGUCUGAGAGGAUGACCAGCCACACGGGGACUGAGACACGGCCCAGACUCCUACGGGAGGCAGCAGUGGGGAAUAUUGCACAAUGGGGGCAAGCCUGAUGCAGCCAGGCCGCGUGUAUGAAGAAGGCCUUAGGGUUGUAAAGUACUUUCAGCGGGGAGGCGUUACCCGCAGAAGAAGCACCGGCUAACUCCGUGCCAGCAGCCGCGGUAAUAC